AGACAGAGAGCACACAUGCCUCUUCGGAUAAACUGAAAACAAGAGGGCCAAGUUCAGAUGAGCCACAGCGGAAGAGUCAGAAAGGUGUUUAAAACAACAGAAUAGUUCUAGGAGAGGUUGACACCGUAUCAAAGUCAAGCUCGCUUGCUCCUCCUCCGCCUGCCGCCGCUGGCUGGAGCCUCCUCCCCGCCUUCAGCCCGACCUUCCUCCACCUCCGCUGGCAGGUUAGUGCGUGUGGGGGCCCAGCUCCAAACUGGAGGGGGCGGGGGAAGACGCGGUACAAGCUCCCCCUUCCCAGGGUUGGGCUCAGCUGUGCACCAGGUAUGGGGCCCUGCCACAGCGGCAGGAGGGACGGGGACGGGAUGCAAAUGUUGCCUUUGCCCCCGGGCACAUAUCACUCUCGCUACGCCAGUGCUGCGUGCACACACACAGAGGCGUCUUCCGACAGGUUUGCACAUUAAGUGCAAUGAAGUCUCCUGCUCUGGGGGUGGCAGGAGCCUUCGGGCACGACUGCCAUUAACAAGGGGUCGAGCUUCCCUUUUCUCCACGAAGUACUGACAAGAAGGGGAUUGUGUCUGGCUGUUUCAUCUCUCCACGCCUUGCACCAGAGUGAGCCCCCUGGCAGCCAGUGCAUUGUUAAUCACCGCUCACUCGUAAAUCUUAUGUCCCGUGUCACGUGGCUAACCCUGGUAGGGGCUGGCAGGGCCUUGUAAUUCUUCCAGGUGGAGAGGAACACAAGCCCCGGGAACAGGCAGGAAGUGGGGGAGUGGGAAGCAUGGAACAGUGAUUGCUCUGUGCUUCCUCCCUCUAUUCAGCCUCUGUCAGGCAUCUACAGGGCUAGGCUCCAUGCGGGGCGAUGUGGUUUCUGGGGCCAGACACUGUCCACGGCACGUGCCACUUACAUUGGUGGAUUCUGAGAAUCACGCCAGCUUCCCCUCCCCCUUCAUUUCCUCUUCUAGCACCACUGGGCUGGGGCAGAGCCGGGGCAGAACGGGGAGCCCCACUUAUGCCACAAGCCCAGGAUCUGGCAGCUCUGCAGGCAGAAUUGCUGAGCCCCAGGGCAAAGGGGGAGACAGGGCAGAAGGGGAGGGCCUGGGGCAGGCCUCUCCCAGGCAGCCCUCCAGUGCAGUAGCAGUAACGGCGAGCGGGAGCGCCGGGCCCUUUUGAACCUUUCCCCACCCCUGUCAAUUGGCCUGUCUGCAGGAUUUCAGGUGGUAACUCCUUCCCUCUGCUCCAAGGGCAAUACAGCCAGAAAGGGCCACCGCGACAGGCAGCACAGCUUGCCAAGAAGGACCAGCAGAGGGUGAAAAGUUUUGACAUUCUGACCCCAGUACAAGGGAUGAGCAGGAGGUGCACAAAAGCAGUGUUGCCAAAUUCCCCUCCCCUCCCCCAUCCUUCCAACCAGCUGCAGGAAGUAUAGAGCAAGCUUUUAGCUGUCCCUUUGUGGCCUAAAACAAAACCUUCUUUUCUUCCCUCCCUCUCCCCUCCGCGGCCCUAAUCAACACACUGUCAGACCUCUGCAAUUGAACAGCUUUGCAUGAUAAAUGGAACGUGUGCUCCAGGCUUCCUCUCUGGUUCCCAAGUUGUAUGGUUGCUGGUUUGUUUGUUUGUGUUUGCAGUGGAAAAGGGCUCAGAUCAGUAGGUCAGUGUGCAACAAAGGAGUAAAACAUGCUGGAAGUUGUAAUGCAGCACUCACCAGACGGGGGCGACACCAUCCACAUCUUUGCUGAACGGAUAGGAGCUCCUGCCCUCUUCUGCUACUGAAGACUUAAUCAAAACAGGCAAAGCCACCCUAAUGCUGCCCCAAGGCUGGGGGAGAUGAGACUGCAAGGAAGAAACACUGCGCAGCCACCUGGCUUCUGGGGAGAACGGCGACAUUCUCAGAAACCACUAGCGACCCUCUCAGCUACCUUUGUGUGAAUCAGGGCGACACCACCACAGUCACUAGUUAAGGGAGAGGAGAAUUAGCCAGCUCGCAGAGGAAGAGAACUUUGCUCGCCUGGAAGGUUUUACUGCGAUGCUGAUAGCCUCCCGGCUACUCCUGACUGACACCGCUGACCCUAAUACAUUUAAAGCGCGGUCCACAAACACAGACCCACCCCCGUGGUACUGCUUUUCGAGAUGGGAAACUGAGGCACAGAGCAGUG